GCUAUAAAAUUCUGAGACUAAAUAUCAAAUUAAAGAAAGUACUAAUUGUCAGCGAUGGGGGAUGUACUGCUAUUUGCUUCUAGUGGUACUCACUGCUCAUUUCCUAUAUUCACUGGUAUAAAAAAAUUUCAAACACCCUCAAAAAAGCCUAUACUGGUGGUACCAGGAAAACGCUGAAAAUCAUUACUUUCUGUGUGGUGUCCAGCUCUUUUGGUUACAUCAUCACUUCGACCAUUCACUUUUAAAGAAAAACUUUUGUGGAACAAAAAUAUAAAGAUUUAUUUUUUUUCUUGGUGGCUUAGCACAGUGGCCUAAUGUGGCUGACCAUGUGCACCUGUUGUGUGAGUCACUUAGACGUGCUUUGUUUCUUGGUCACAGUUGAUCCCUCAACUCAAGCAUCUCACCCUCAAAAUGUUUGUUUGGGACCCAAGAGGCAAACCUUGAGAUGGGUUAUUUCUUUCACCUUGGAUUGGCUCAUCUGCUGGGAGUGGAGCCAAGCUGACAUUUCCUUUCCUUUUUGUCUGCCUAUCACUACGUAGAGGCAGCACAUAAGAGAGGGAAAGCCAUGCGCGUGGAGUCCAGCACAUCACCCAGAAGGCAGAUGUUCUAUCUCCAUUUUACUCAUUAAAACAAACAAAACCACACCUGGAUUGCCUGGUACUUAAAUAAAAUGCACUAUGAUGAUUGAAGAAAAAUA
rnacentral:lncRNA from 10 species